UACGGAAGGGGCAAGCGUUGUUCGGAAUUACUGGGCGUAAAGCGCAUGCAGGCGGAUCGCUAAGUCAGGGGUGAAAGCCCGAGGCUCAACCUCGGAACUGCCUUUGAUACUGGCGAUCUUGAGUCCGGGAGAGGUGAGUGGAACUCCGAGUGUAGAGGUGAAAUUCGUAGAUAUUCGGAAGAACACCAGUGGCGAAGGCGGCUCACUGGCCCGGUACUGACGCUGAGAUGCGAAAGCGUGGGGAGCAAACAGG
rnacentral:rRNA from 1 species